UGAUAUGAGUGUGCACGAACCGCACGAA
rnacentral:sRNA from 1 species